AUUUAAAUAGUUUAUAUAAAACAUUAGACUGUGAAACUAAAGAAAAGAAGUUUUUAAAUU
rnacentral:tRNA from 1 species